rnacentral:rRNA from 1 species
AUACUGAGGGUGCGAGCGUUAAUCGGAAUUACAGGGCGUAAAGCGCGCGUAGGCGGUAAGUUAAGUUGGAUGUGAAAUCCCUGGGCUCAACCCAGGAACUGCAUUCAAAACUGGCUCACUAGAGUAUGGUAGAGGCAAGUGGAAUUCCAGGUGUAGCGGUGAAAUGCGUAGAUAUCUGGAGGAACAUCAGUGGCGAAGGCGACUUGCUGGGCCAAUACUGACGCUGAGGUGCGAAAGCGUGGGUAGCAAACGGGAUUAGAAACCCCAGUAGUCC